rnacentral:rRNA from 1 species
UGAGGAAUUAUGCGCAAUGGACGAAAGUCUGACGCUGCGACGUCGCGUGGGUGAUGAAGGUCUUCGGAUCGUAAAACCCUGUCGAGAGGGAAGAAAGAGCGGGCGCUAAUAUCGCCUACUUCUGACGGUACCUCUGGAGGAAGCCCCGGCUAACUCUGUGCCAGCAGCCGCGGUAAUACAGAGGGGGCAAGCGUUGUUCGGAAUUACUGGGCGUAAAGGGCUCGUAGGCGGCCAACUAAGUCAGACGUGAAAUCCCUCGGCUUAACCGGGGAACUGCGUCUGAUACUGGAUGGCUUGAGGUUGGGAGAGGGAUGCGGAAUUCCAGGUGUAGCGGUGAAAUGCGUAGAUAUCUGGAGGAACACCGGUGGCGAAGGCGGCAUCCUGGACCGGUAUUGACGCUGAGUGAGCGAAAGCCAGGGGAGCAAACGGGAUUAGAUACCCCGGUAGUCCCUGAGCGGGCUGGCAAGGCGCAU